rnacentral:rRNA from 1 species
UACGUAGGGUGCAAGCGUUGUCCGGAAUUAUUGGGCGUAAAGAGCUCGUAGGCGGUCUGUCGCGUCUGCUGUGAAAACUCGGGGCUUAACCCCGGGCCUGCAGCGGGUACGGGCAGACUAGAGUGCGGUAGGGGAGACUGGAAUUCCUGGUGUAGCGGUGAAAUGCGCAGAUAUCAGGAGGAACACCGGUGGCGAAGGCGGGUCUCUGGGCCGUAACUGACGCUGAGGCACGAAAGCGUGGGUAGCAAACAGG